GGGUCGAUGAAGAACGCAGCCAGCUGCGUGAAGUAAUGUGAAUUGCAGGACACAUUGAACAUCGAUAUCUUGAACGCAUAUUGCGGCCUCGGGCAUUCCCGAGGCCACGCCUGUCUCAGGGUCGGUUGAACCUAUCUAUCGUCGGUUGUCCGUAUUUGCCGACGCCUUGGACCGUCGCGGCGCGUCGACCGUAAAGCGCAAUCGGCUGACCGUAAUUGCCGAGAGCGCAACGCGCCACGUCGUCCGAAGUACAGACGGGUCUGCCGCGAUGCAUUGCCGACCGGACGUCCUCAGUCCGCCAGACGGGGACGGCGACUCGGACCGUAAAGAGAAGCCGUUGUCUGUCCCGGCGGUACGGAAGGCUUUGCAUCCACGUACGGCGGAUCCACGAACGAAGAACGCGGUGUGCGUGCGGAUGUGGACGGAAGGUUGGUUGGACCGGCGGGAAACUGCUGGACCGACCGACCGACCGACCGCGUCUGCGUGCGCGCUGCGAAAACUCUUUAUUCGACCUGAGAUCAGACGAGAUUACCCGCUGAAUUUAAGCAUAU
rnacentral:misc_RNA from 1 species